CAUUAAGGUCCAAAGGGUCCAAAAUUAAACUUAGUUUGAUUUUGACAAAAAAUGAAUCAGUUAGGUUCUUUGAUAUGCUGAAUCUUAAAAUGUACUUAGAUUCUUGAUUAUUGCCCAGUUUUCAAGUUGGUCCAAAUCGGGAUCCAAAAUUAAACUUUGUUUGAUUUCAUCAAAAAUUGAAUAAAUGGGGUUCUUUGAUAUACCAAAUCUAACUGUGUAUGUAGAUUCUUCAUUUUUGGUCCUGUUUUCAAAUUGGUCUACACUAAAGUCCAAAGGGUCCAAAAUUAAACUUAGUCUGAUUUUAACAAAAAUUGAAAUCUUGAAGUUCUUUGAUAUGCUAAAUCCAAAAAUGUACUUAGAUUUUUUAUUAUGGGCC
rnacentral:lncRNA from 1 species